rnacentral:lncRNA from 1 species
AUCAUUCUUUCCUGCAUCAAUUUUGUCACGGUCCAAACUUAUUGUUCUGAAAAGCACUAGCCAAAGGCAAGACAUGGAUGCCGUGACUAUUCUCCUUUCCUACCAGGUCCUUAAGCGCCUUCUUCUUGAAAGUCCAGCUGCCAGUUCUCAGGUUGAAAUGGUAUAGAGGAAGAAAUCGUUGGCCAUAGAUGGCUACGAACUCCAACGCCGCAAGAAUGUAUUCAAACUCCUCAUUUGACAUGUAGUAAGGAAAGCUGACUCUUGUCCAUCCAGGUUUUGCUCCUAUGUAGCCCUGCAAUCAAACUUUGCAAUUGGCAUUAGAUAAGUUGAAUUAUAUUUUACUUCUCUUUCAUUUGGUCAAAAAAAAAAAAGGAAAAUUUUGUACUGAUACCCUUUUAAUAGCUUCUCUGAACGCAAGGGAUCGAGUCUGAUCAAUAUCAAGCAAACUGUGGCCAUAAGGUCCAGCACAAGCACACCCAUCUCGAUCUUGGAUGCCAAUCAGAUCAUUUAGGAUGGUUGCAACAAAAGGGCCAUGGAGAGGUUUAUCCCUCUUGUUCCCAGUCUCUCCCCACAUGAAAAGUCCCUUACCCUUUUCACCGCCCGUUCAACAUUGUUUAACCUCGUUGGUUGUGGAGUAGAUGAGGAAAAGACAUAUGGCUUGUCUCUGGGCUCGGUGCUUGAUUUCUAAACCCGUUAUGUUUUGGUUUGGAGAAAGCCUCAUCCAAUGCUUGAUUUAUGUCCAUACUUCUCCUGCUUUGGCAAUCACUCAUAACCAAUAUAUUCUUUUUACCCAAAAGUCAAUGCUGCUGCUAACAAUCUGAAUUAUUUGAGGAGUCCCUCCCAUUUUCCCCUUUCUUCUCAUGUCAUCUUACAUAUAUUGUGUCCUGCAAAAUACAUACCCCAUUUUACCACAUUUUAAAUUGCAUACCUGCUUCCCUAAAUGCUGGGGGAAUGAAUCUGAUAAUAUCAUGAUAACUUAUCAUUCUAUGUAGAAGUAUUUUUUAUGACACGUCGUGCCUUUAGGAAAUUUGGUUGGAAAAUCUCUUUUCUUCUUAAAAUUGUAAUUAAAAUAAAAAAAUUUUUUAGAGACACUUAUCAUUCACUAGUCUAUGUCUAAACCCGCUCCAUCUGAAUCAGGAAUUUAUUUCUAAACUCCAAAAAGCCUGACAGCUACCUAAUCAUUCUUUAUGUCGUCCAGUCGAAGAAAGAAACCAAAAUUUCUUACAAAAUGGGAUAUAUAAGCAAGAAUAAGAAAAAGGUAAAGAAAAUACAAAUUUCCAUUUUAUUGUAGAGAGGUGAACAAAAAAUAAAAUCUUUCAUCUAUUAAAUUGAAUUAAUCUGAACACAAAAAUAUAAUAAAAAUCUCUUCAUUUAUUAUCAAUUAAUUUUAAAUUUGAGUGUAAUUACCUGUUCAUUGAAGCCAUUGACAUAAUUAACAGUUCCACCUCCGCAAGUUGAUGGAGGAGAAGAUCCCAGCCGGUAGAGAGUCUUGCUCAUUAAAAGGAUGCCGGGCGUUCCAGGGCCACCUAGAAACUUAUGUGGGCUUAGGAAAAUGGCAUCAUAUCCAUCAAUCUCCCCUGACCUCAUAUCAAUCUCCACAUAAGGACCACUAUCCACAAAAACAAAAUGAUAAGCACUAUCAAAAAUCAACUUCUCAUUGCUUUAUAACAUUAACAUAAUACAUAAAACUUGGCUAAUAAUUAAUUGUGAGAUCUGUUAUUAAAAUAUUAAACUUUUAAUUUUAACAAUCAAAGAUUAAAUUCUGACAACCUCGAAUAUAAAAGCUUGACAACAAAAAAUGAAAAUUCUUACUGUGUACCUUGCUGCAGAAUCAAAGCAAACAAAACCUCCGUACUCAUGAAGAAGUUUGGCAAUCUCUCGAGUAUCUGUUUGAAUCCCAGUCACAUUACUACAAGCUGAAAAUGAGCCAAGCAAAGGCCUAUUGGCGUAUUUAUACAGCUCAACCUGUUUUCUUAGUGCUUCAAUGUCUAUGAACCCAUUCUCAUCUAAACCAAUCUCAACAACUUCAGCAAGGCUGUGACGCCAAGAAAGCAAGUUUGAGUGGUGCUCGUAAGGGCCAAUAAAAACUACCCAUCGAUACUCAUUCGGUAAGCAAUUUAUUACCAUGUCCCUCAAAAUUGAUGGUACCGUAAUCCCCAUAACUUCUUGUAGCCUUUUAAUAGCAGCCGUGUUGCCUGAGCCACAAAACAGAAUUGCAUCAUCUUGACCGCCUCCUAGGCUUCUUUUAAUGUAGUUUGACGCUUCAUGCACCAUUUUCGUCGUCCUGUGCCCCACGUAACAGUCAGACGUGUGAGUGUUACCUACGCACGAACCAACCAAGAUCAGCUGACAAAUACUAAAACCCUAAUAUAUAUAUAUAUAUAUAUAUUAUACUCGGAAAUGACGCCAUCACUUUUGUUAAUUAAAUCAGAGUAUCACAAUUGAAGAUCAGAAGAAAAAAAACCUUUACCGUAGAAUGGCAGAACAUUGGUGACGAUGAAGUUUUCGAUAUAGUGAAAAGAGCGACCCGAUGCAGUAUGAUCAGCAUAAGUAAGUUUUCUAGUUCCAAAAGGAGAGUCAAAUUCUGCAUCACCACCAGUGAUUUGAGAUCGUAGCCAAGACAGCUUUUUCUCGGUGGAGUCAACCUUUGGCACAUCCAUCUCUAGAGCCCUGAAUGAUUCCGAGCCAUGGAAGAGUUUGCUGGAAACAUAGGAACGGCAUGUUGAUCCUGGUGACUUAUGCCUGUCCCUGGUUGAAGUCUUACUAUCAUUUGCUGCCUUCAAUUUCAGGGCUUCCGUUGUUUCUCUAAACAUGGGUUGCUCAAACUCCAUUUCCCACCUGGAAACAAAGAUUAGUGCCUGUUUUUAUUGUUGUUGUCGCUUAUGACAGGAGAAAGAAUGGAAAAAGUAGUUGUAGAAGAAGAAAAAGAUAAGAAUGAGGGUAAGGAAGGCAGACUUCGUUAUUUAUAUCCUAUUAAAAUACAAAGUAACCUUUUGACACGGUUUCAUUUUUUUAAUUAAUAAAACAAAAAGACAAAGUUUUAGGCGUGAGGGGGGUUUGACUCCGAAACCAUGGCCUCUACACUCCAAUAAGAAAAAUAUUGCUGUCUCAGAAACAAUGGGAUCUCUAAAAAGGAUUGAAAAAAAAAAAAAAAAACCUACAGAAAAUAGUAAGCCUACGUUUGGAAUAUAUUAUUCCUUGGAGUGUAAGAAUUUCCAUAUUUCUCAUUCCUCUCCCUAAAAUUUGAUUAUGGAGUAUCAAAUAGCCCAAGCAAUUGUUAGAAAAACAUUGAACCUUUCCUGGUCUACUUGGUUUGGAACGUGAUGUAUCCAAUCUGCCGUAUUAAUAAGGAGAGCAUUGCUAUUUAGAGGUGUCAAUAAUAUACCCAUACUCACGAGUUAUUCAUUUUAUAAAUUAGAUUACUUAAUUGAUAAAAAGAAUGAGAAUUUUUGUAUCUCAUUAUAAUUUGCACGGAUAGUUAUGAUUUCAAAAGAGUAAAAUGUGUAAAGAAAGCAAAGAAUUUGAUUGCUUUUCAGAAACUUAAUAUGAUUUUGGCAAUAUGCAUGAUAAUUUUAUUAAUGAUUAUUCAUCAAUAAGUAACAUUUAUGAAUUAAAAUUAAAUUUUGAUUUAUUGAAAAAGUAUUAAAAAAAUCAGUUAAAAAAAAUAAAUGAAAGAAUGAAGAAACAAACAAACGGAUCAAAUAAAAAAAAAAUAAAAAGAGAACCAACACAAAAUAAAAGUAGUGAAAUAGAUCUUCAAACCAAUACUCCACCACACUCAAGGCUAUUCAUUUGUAUUUGUGAUGAAGUGGCAUAUUAAAAAUAAAUAAUUUAAUUUAAUUAAGAAUGAUUUAAGAUAAAUAAUAAAAAUUUGAUUACUAAUUGAUAUAAUUUUAACUAUAGAAGGUAAAUAAUACAUACUCUUUAAGGUAAUGUUGUUCUUUCCAAAAUAGUUAAAUAUAAAAAUAAGCCAUUUAUUAUGCAUUUCUUAUCAAUUUGGCACCAAAAAAAUAAAAUAUUUAGUUUGGCACUCUAAUUUUCUUUCUUUCAUCACUUUGUUAUCGGAAACUAGCGUCAUCAGUCAAUUUAUUGACGUGAUAUAAAUAUCUAAUAAGAUAUUAACACAUGCUGAGAAAAUCUAAUCAAUGUCAAAUCAUCAAUAUUACAUCCGAAUUUAAAGAAAAUUUAAAAAAAUUUAAAUAUUUUUUAAAAAAUAUUUAAGCAUUUUAAAAAUUAUUUUAAAAACAAAAACUAAAAUUUUAAAAAUUUUUAAAAAUUAUUAAAACUUAAAAAAUUAAAAAAAUCUCAAAAUUUUAUUAGAAAAAUAAAAAAAUUUUGAAAUUUUCAUAAAAAUGAUAAUUUUAGUAAACAUAAAGUUUUCAUAAAUUUAAAAAAAAAAUCUCUAAAGCUUAAAAAAUUGAAAGUAAAAGAUCUAAAAUUUUUUGAAAAUAUCUAAAAAUUUUAAAAUAAUUGUAAUUCUUAUAAAUUAGGAAAAUUCUUCAUUUUUUUAAUCUUACAAUUUUAAUUUUCUUAUAUAUUUUGUGAUUUUUUACAUUUUUUUAAAUGUUUAUGGAUUUUUAUUAAAAUUUUAAGUUUUUUAUUUUAUAUUUUUCAAAAAAUUUAAUUUUUAGUAAAUUUCUUAGAAUAUUUCAUAUUUUUGAAAUUUUUUUAAUUUUUUCAAAAUUUUUGAAAAUAUUUUAUAAAAUUUUAGAUUUUAAUAAAAAUUAGAUUUUUUGUAAUUUUCAAAUUUUGUCAAAAAAUUCUAGAUUUUUUAGUUUUUGUGAACCUAUUUUUUUUAAUUUUUUAGAAUAUUUUGGAUUUUUUUUGGAUUUUUUGUCAAAAUUUGAGAUUUUAUGAAUUUUUUAAAGUUUUGAUAUUUUUUUAAAUUUUAUGUUCAAAUAAGAUUUCAUAUUUAUUUAAUUUUUCUAAUUUUAAAAAUAUUUUAGCUUUUAAAUUUUGUUGAAUUUUUUUACUAUUGAUGUGGUAAUUGAUGAUGUGGCACUACUAAACUUUUUGAUACAUGUCAGUAUCUUAUUAGAUGUUAAUGCCAUGUUGACAAAUUGAGUAAUUGCUUUAGUACGAGGUAUCAAAGUAAAUGGCGAAAUGAAAGUUAAAGAACCAAAUUGAUAAUUUUGUUUCUUAAAGUACUAAACUGACAGAAAGUGUAUAGUACAUGAAAUAUUUUUAUAUUUAACUUUUCCAAUCAUGAAAAAACCUAAAAGAGACUUGAAAUUGUUAUACAUGUAAUCGAUAAUCAUUCCUUAGUGUUGACCUUUAGAGUUCAAAGGAUGUCUCAUACCCAAAUAAUUUUUGGGUUUUUCCUACAUGUAAUAAUAAUAUUAAUUACCAAAUUACUGCUUAAUUUGAAAAAAAAAUGACAUUAAUAUAAAGAUAAAUGUACAUAAAAGAGAAGUUCUUUGUCCUUAGCUCUUUCCCUAAACAGUUGGAUCUCUAGCUCUACCUGUAAAUCAUUUAACGAAACACAAAUCAAUUGAUUACGUCACAACAUAUAAGUGAUUUAGUUACAAAUUAUGAUUCUUCUCAAACAAUAAAAUGAUGGGUGAUUGUGAUUGGAAUGAAACAAUAAAAAAUUUUCAUCGAUGCCUUUCGUUGCUGUUUCAGACACAGACUUGGCAAUGGUAAUGAUAAAAUGAUUAGUGACUGUGGCCAUGAUUAAAUUUUUAAAAUAAUCUAAUGAUAAGAGAAUAAUAUGCAACAUAUCUUUCAAAUUUGAAAUAGUAAAAAACAAAUCUAAUCAAUUUUAAUCCAAAUAUACAUUUAAUAUUUUUGGUCAAUAUAUUCUUGAAAAAUGAUUAAAUUAAAAAAAAAAAGAAAAAUUCUAGAAUUGACAUUUAUGAAUUCAAGAUUUAUACAAAAUUUUUCAUAUUUGAUAGGUUUUCAUUUUGAAUUUAAAUAAUUUAUCAAAUAGAAUUACUUUAUAAACCCAUUUUAGAGAUAAUAUAUUAUUACAAUUGAGAUUUUUAUAUUUAAAAAAUAUGUUUAUAUUAUUAGGAAAUUUAUUUUUAAUAAAAAUAUAUCUAAAUUAGAUUUUAUUGUUAACAAUUUUAAAAUUAUCCAUGUAGAUAUCCAUAUAAGUUAAUUUUUUGUGGUAAAUUCCUAUGUGUCAAAAAAUGAUAUAUAUAUAUAUAUAGGCAUUUACAUAUCCCAUAAUACUUACAUCUAAAAUUUGAAAGUUUUCGAUAACUAAAUUUUUUUAAAUAUAUUAUUUCUUGAUAAAUAGCCUAAAAUUAAGAAAUGUCUUAUAUGUCGUUAUAGAGAAAUUUUAAGAAUUUUAUCACAUGUCGAAAAGAAAAACCAUCAAUGUAAGCAAACCUUAUCAUGUAACAAUGUAUCCUGUAAUAUAAUAUAUAUUAUAUUUUUUUAAAAGAUUAUUAGUUAUCCAAGUGAUAAAAAUAGUCAUACUUGACACAGACCCCAAGUCUUAAGAUUUCACAAUGUAUAUAAUAAACUUUAAUUUUCCAUGUGUACAUAUACUAACAAAGUAAAAUAACAACAUAAAAUGUCAACCAAUGAUUCUCAUCAUUCAAGCAUAGAUUUAAAUAUCACAUAGAUAUUCCAAGCAUAAAGGGAAAGGUCCAACAUAGAGACAAACCAUAAUGUGUGAGUAUAAAAGACAAAUGAUAUACUCUUAAUAAUAAAUUACAUCAAAAGACCCUAAAAUACCUAUGUUCUCAAUAUGUUUACCAAAUACUAUAGGUCUUAUUCCUGUAGUCCAAGGAUCAACAAUCACGUUGUUAGUCUGAAUGUGUUUGACAACAAUAUUAUAAUUUUUCAUAAAAUCCCUAACUUUAAAAUAUAUUAUCUCCAAAUGUUUAAACCACUAAUGCUCUUGUUGUUCUUAGAAAACAACAUAGUUGACCUAUUAUCCCAAUAAAUCUUUAAAGGUCUGGAGAUGGAAUUAAUAAUACAAAGGCCUGACAUAAAAUUCAUAAGCCAAAUUGCCUAUGUAGUAGCUCUAUCGCAUGCAACAAACUCAACUUGCAUAAUGGAAAAAAAUAAGAGUGUUUGUUUCACAUAUUUCCAAGACAAAGCUCCUACAUCGACAUAAAAAAAUACCUUGAAGUGGACUCCAUGUCAUCCUAACAACUAGUGAAGUUAGAAUUUAUAUACCCUAUUAUCUGAAGAUUGUCCAUUUUUUUGUAUACCAACGUAUGGUUUUUUUGUCUUUUGCAAGUACCUAAUCACCUUCUUAACAGCAACCUAGUGAUUCAUACUAGGAUUUGAAAGAUAUCUCUCAAGAACUCACUCUGCAAAAGCAAUAUCUAGCCUAGUACAAACUUGAGCAUACAUGAGACUCCCAACUGCACUAGAAUAUGGUAUGUUCAUCAUGGAUUCUUUCUCCAAAUCAUUCUUUGGGCAUUGACUAAGAUUAAGUUUAUCACCUUUAACAAUGAGUGCAUUCCUAGCCUUACAACUUUGUAUGUUAAAUUUAUUAAGCGCAUGAUUAAUGUAAGACCUUUGCAAUAGUCCCAACAAAUUUUGAGAUCUAUCUCUAUGAAUUUCAAUCCCAAGAACAAAGGAAGCAUUCCUAAGGUUUUUAUAUCAAAAGUCUUGGAGAAUAGCUACUUAAUUUCAUGUAACAAACCAAUAUCAUUACAAGCCACUAAGUGUCAUCCACAUAUAACACAAGAAAGAUAUAUUUACUCCCCCUAAUUUUAAGGUGUAUGUAUUGAUCAACUUUAUUUUCCUCAAAACCAAGGGAAGUAACUAUCUGAUCAAAUUUUAGAUACCUUUACUUAGAAGCUUAUUUAAGGGCAUAGAUUGACGUUUUAAGUCAACUUACUAAAUGUUCCUUUUCAGAUUCUUGAAAUCUUUUUGGUUGCAUAAUGUAAACCUUUUCUCUAAAAUCACAAUUGAGAAAAGCCGUCUUUACAUCCAUCUAAUAAAGCUUCAAGUUAAAGUGUACUACCAAGGCCAUAACAAUCCUAAAGAAAUUUUUGGAAGACACUGGUAAAAACAUUUUGUUAUAAUCUACUCUUUCCCUCUAAAUAAAUCACUUUGCCACCAAUGUAACUUUAAAUAUCUCAAAUUUUUCUUUAGACCCUUUCUUGGUUUUAUACACCUAUUUACAACCAAUGGAUUUAUACUCUUUUGGCUGUUUAACAAGCUCCUAAGCACCAUUUUGAGCCAUAAAAUUUAUCUCAUUUUUUAUUGCAUCCAUCCAUACAUUAAAUUACAAAUGCUAAUAGUUUCACCAAAAGUCACAAGGUUAACAACAUGACUAAUGUCAUAGUCACUCUCUCAAUGAUAAAUUACAUAAUCAUUAGAGAUGUCGGAUCUUCUUUGUUUAAAAGAUCUCCUAAAAGGUAUUUCAAUAUCAUUCUUUCAAACUUGAAGUACAUCAGUAGGAUGAAGGUUUAUGUCCUAUUGCCUUGAUCUCUUCUUUCAAUGGCCACUAGCAUAAUAUGGCACUGUAUUAUAGGUAAAGUUAUGAAGAUAUGUCUAACAGAUUCACGGUUAUCCACAGCCUCUAUCACACUCUUAUCAACAACAUGUAGUUUAAGAAACUUUGCCACAUGUGACUCUACAAACUUAGUUCCACGUAUAGGACAAUAAAACUUAUAUCCCUUGAAACGAUCUAGAUACUCUAAAGAAAAGCAAUGAGUACUCCUAGGUUCAAUCUUUUUCUCAAAAGGUUAUAGAUUCUAACUUCUGCAAGAAAUCCACAAACUUUAAAAUGAUUCAAUUGGGGUUUCAUACCAAUCUACAAUUCAGAAGUUGUUUUAGGAACAAAUUUACUAGGUACUUUAUUAAGUAUAUACAAGACGGUUUUAAUACCUUCACCUCAAAAGGACUUAAGAAGAUUGGUCCUACAUAUAAGCUCUUUAUCAUACCCUUAAGGGUGUGAUUUUGCCUUUCGACCACACCAUUAUGUUCAAGACUACCAAGCAUAGCAUAUCAAGAAAAAUCUGACAUUCUUGUAAGUAUUUAGAAAAUGGUCUCAUAUGUUAUCUAAUUUCGCCAUAUCUACCAUCAUACUCACCACCUUGGAGCUAAUGACUUUGAUAACUUUCCCUAAUUCUUUCUCUACCUCAGUUUAAAAAUUUUAAAUUUUUAAAAGCAUUUCAAUUUUCAUCAAUUAGGUCAAGAUACCCAUAGCGAAAAUAGUCAUAAAUAAAAGUAACAAAAUAUAUGUUACCACAAAAGAUAGAUAUAAGAGGUCCACUAUUAUUAGUGUACAUAAUUUUCAAAAGGUCAAAAUUGCAAAUUGCAUCAUUUUUCUUAGUCGUAGUUAGUAUAUAUUUUAUACAAUCAACACAAGUGUCUAACUUUUCAAAACCAAGGGAAGGUAAAGUACUAUUUUUUUAUCAAUUUUUGCACUUUUUCACUAGAAAUGUGACCCAACUUUUUACGCCACAACAAAAAAGACUUUUCUUUAGUUAGAGAUUUUUAAGAUACUGUCUUUUCCACAUUAUUGCAACUAUAUUAAUUAUCAUAUGCCAAGCACGGUUUGUAUAAAUUGUCAAUUAGUUUAAAUUCAUCAAUAAUGAAUUCUCUUUAGUCAAAGAUUUUUUAGUCACUAUUUUUUCAACAUUAUUGCAACUAUAUUAAUUAUUGUAGGCUAAGUUUAUAUAAAUUGUCAAUUAGUUUAAAUUCACCAACAACAUUUGAAUUUUAAAACAAGUCAACUUUUUCAUAUCCAAUGCCAAAAUAAUAACCAUGUUUGUCCAAAAUAAAAACUAAAAUGAAAUUCCUCUGAAAUGAAGGUGUAUGAAAAACAUUUUGCAAAAUAAGCUCAAAGUCAGAUUCUAAAUUUAAGCCUAUUGUUCCUACAUAAUUAAUGGCUACUUCAGUAUUGUUUCAAACUCUAUGUGUUGCCUUUUUCUCACUUAGCUUUCAUUUGUUUUUGAAUCCUAGCAAAGGUAACAACAAUAUGAAUAGUUAAACCACUAUCAACCUACUAGGAAUUUGGUAAGCCACUGACAAAUUAGGAUAUAAAACAAACGACAGCUAGUGAGUUCCCUUCUUAUUUAUUUUUUUUCUUUAACCAAGCUUGAUAUUUAGGGUAUUCAUGUUUCAUAUGACAUUUUUUUUAUAGGAAAAACACUUGAUAUCUUUCUUAAUGAUAGCUUUAAGCCCUCUUACCUUUGUAGUCUGACCACUACCUUAUCCCUUGUUUUCUUGAUCUUUCUUGUGAGCAUUAGGAACAAAUUUCCUAGAUUUCUCAUAAUUUUUUUUGUAAUUAUAUUUGGAGUAUGUAGCAAAAAAAAACACUUUCACCCAUUUCUUUCUACAGUUUUUCUUCCUUAGAGACAAACUUUUAAAUAAGAUCAUUAACACUUCAAAACCUCAUUCAUAGCAUUAUAGACAGUUUUGAUCUGAGUGAACUCCAAAAGUAAGGCAUUGAGGGCGUGAUGAACAAUGAAUUUAUCAAGAAUGUCAAUUUCAUGAGAAGUCAAUUUGGUUUGAAUGUGGACCAUUCUCAUGAUGAAAUCUCUAGCACUCUUAACACUAUCAUACCUUACUACUUGUAAGCUCACUCAUAAGGUUCUUAGCUUUACACUAUAAUGGAUUUUUGGUAAUUUAUUGCCUUCAGCAGGUAAAGAUCCCUUAAGCAAUUUUUGUGGUAUCCAACUCACUCAAAAGGUAUUCAAAAAUAGAAAUAUUAAUGACAUAUAGACGUAUAUGAUUUGUCUUUUCCCAUUUGGGAAAAUAUUCCUUUUCUUUAGCAAUGCUUUCAUUAGUAAAAUUAGCAGGCUUUGAAAAAUGUAAGGCUACGUCUAUCUCAUUUAUAACUAAAGCAAAAUUCAAAUCUUCAUUCCAUUUUUUAUAAUUAGACCCAUGAAGAACUUUAAUAGUUGCUUAUUGUUAUUGAUAAUAAAAGUCAACAUUCAAGAUAAAAAUGCAACAUUAGUAAAUGGCAAUAUCAUAAAAUAUAUAGCAACAGUUCAUGAUGUACUAACAAUUAUUGAAAGGUCUUGGUACAUCACCACAAACUCUUUUUUGGAUAAAGAAUGUAAUAUACGAGUGGGAACUUUUCGGAUAACGCUAAUAUGAAAAUGUGCUAGCUUUUAAAAAUUAUAUCCCCUUCGGACAGAUAGAUUUUCUAGAUUGGUAAAACUUCAACCAUGAUGAUUUAUAUUCCAAAACAAAUUACCUUAUACAUUAACCCCCUUUAGGCAGUCAAUUGCAUAAAAUAAUUUAAUAACCAUCCCGUAACCAUAGAAUGAUAAAAUAUUACAUUAAUUUCAAUAAGUGAGCCAUUUUGACAACCAAAUAUUGAUAUCAAUUAAUGAAGAUUUUUUCAAAUAAAAAAAUUUCAUUAAUUGCUCAAAACUCUCAGUUUACAAACUCAACCAUAAUGUGUGCAAUGGACUAUCCCAACUAAGAAACUAACCCUAAAUGUAUCUAAUUAGGUAUUAUAAGCAGUGUACAUUAAAUUUAAACUAGUGUCUUGAAUUUUUUUUAAAAUCAAUUUGUAAUUACUAAAUCAACUACGCACUUAAGAGCACAUAAAUAUCAAGGCCUAUUUAGGAAGAAUACCUAUUAUCAUUAGACUCUCAUCAUACCAAAAUAUCACAAAAUAAAAUAAUAAAUAAUAUGUAUAACAUAUAGUAAUUUCUGAGCAAUGCAUGAAUAUCAAACAAAUAUUUCAUGCAGUUUAAAAAUUUUAAAAAAAAUUAGAAAUAAAAUUCCAAGUUUGCCAAAACUAACUAAAGAAAAAAUGGUGCUAGACGAGACGACACGUGCCCCAUGUGCCACCCACCAUGCAUGGAUUUUGUUCAACAUGGGGAAUGGUUUUUUUUAACCUCUAAAUGAGUUGACUCAAUGCGACUGGAAUAAUUCUUUACCUAUUCUAGUCUGUUCGUAUUUUUCCACCAUUUUUUAUGCAUUUUCUUGGUAAUUUCAACAAAUUGAAGCGCCCAAAAAUAAAACAAAUUUUCUAUCAAACCCUUGAUAAAAAAGUAUAAAACAAUGACAAAAAUAAGAUCAAUUGGUUAAAAUUUUUCAAAUUACAUAAAUAUAUAUUAGACCGCUUUUUGUUUUUUUUGUGUUUGGCUAAUCUAAAACAAUAUGAAAUAAAAACGCUUUGAUUUAACUUUAUAACACAUGAGAAACAUGAUUCCAGAAUCAAUUUUUAAUUAAACACAUAAAAUGUUUGAUGUUUUAAUCAAAACAAGAAUUUAGAUUAAAACCUAAACCCAAAAAUUCUCAACCUUGAUUUCUCUUUCGAUAUAAGGAAUUAGAAAAUGAUCAUUAUAUAAUUUUAAUCUUUUUUUAGAGAGGAACUAAAAUCUUAAAUCAAUUUCAAAAAAUAAAGAUCAAAAUUUAAAAUUUUGACAAUAAUAUAAUUUCACACUAAAUAUGUUGUUUGUUCAAAAAUCAAUUACAAAUCAUGAUUUUAGGGGCCAAAUAUCACAUAAUGAUAGCUCUGAUACCACACGUAAACAUUAACCCAAGUUCAUUGUUUGAUAAUUAGAACAUCGUAAAUAAAUAAAGAGCUUUGUCAUACUUAUUUGGGUGGUCAUGACGAAUAUAUGAAGCAAAACAAUACUUAAAGUGCCUAGGUCUUCCUCUUCACUAUUCUCUUAUUAGUGACACUCAAUGAGCAGUAACUGUAACUCGUAUAAAAGUAAAAAAGAAAAGGUUAUCUGAACCUAUUUUUAUUGAAAACCCUUAAAGCCUCCUCAUCAAACACUUAGUAGACUAAAGGUCUACAAAACCUCUAAACCAGAUUGAUCUAGUAAGCUAUGUAAGUCUUACAUUUAAGUGAUCACAUUAAAUUAUUUAAACUCUCAAGCUUAUCUCGUAUUAAGAGUAAACACAUCAAUCAAUUUUAUUAAAUUAUUAAAACCAACUAUUAAUGGUAGCCCACUUAUGAACAAUUCUUGCUCUAUAUCCUAAUAAGACAUCAACAGAGAGUUUAUAAAGUAAAGAUGAAGACUAUAUAAAGAGCAAUGGUGGUGGAAAGAUUAUUUUCUAAAUAAAAAUUUGGAUGUUGAAGCGGUCUUCAUAAAAGAUGACUCUCUAUGUUAAAGUGGUUCCACUAAAAUAGUAUACUAAGGUCAUAUUUGAUACAUAUGAUUAUUAACAGAAUAUGAAGAAUAUUUGUAAGGUUUGCAAUGAGGAUUAAUAUCCUCUUGGUAUAGGAUUAUUCAACCCUCUCAAAGUAAAGAGGAUAAUUUUUAAAUUUAUAGAUUAAACUUGCAGGUUCAAUUAUACCCUUAAAAAUUACUUUAAUAAUUUAAAUUGUAUAAACUUUGAAUAAGGAUAAUUUUGACAAAUAAAUAAAUUAUCCUAUCCUAAUCUUUACAUAUAGCAAACACAAAAUAAGAUGACAUUAUUUAAUCUAAUUCUAUUUAUAAUAUCAUUGUACCCUAUCAAGUUAUAAUCUUAUGUACUAAACAUGGCAUAAGAUUAUUAUAUCUAUGUAUAUUGAUAUUAUUUGUUAUUUUAUAACUAAGCUUUUGCGAUUCACAUAUUGUGAGGGGUUUCUAUGAUAACUUUUUAAAAGGCUAUUUGGCAUGAUUGCAAAUACAUGACAUCAUACAUGCUAAUAAAGGAUUAGGAUAGAGCGGUAUAUUCGAAUUCACCCAUAAGGUACUGUGUGAAUUGAAUUCCUNNNNNNNNNNNNNNNNNNNNNNNNNNNNNNNNNNNNNNNNNNNNNNNNNNNNNNNNNNNNNNNNNNNNNNNNNNNNNNNNNNNNNNNNNNNNNNNNNNNNNNNNNNNNNNNNNNNNNNNNNNNNNNNNNNNNNNNNNNNNNNNNNNNNNNNNNNNNNNNNNNNNNNNNNNNNNNNNNNNNNNNNNNNNNNNNNNNNNNNNNNNNNNNNNNNNNNNNNNNNNNNNNNNNNNNNNNNNNNNNNNNNNNNNNNNNNNNNNNNNNNNNNNNNNNNNNNNNNNNNNNNNNNNNNNNNNNNNNNNNNNNNNNNNNNNNNNNNNNNNNNNNNNNNNNNNNNNNNNNNNNNNNNNNNNNNNNNNNNNNNNNNNNNNNNNNNNNNNNNNNNNNNNNNNNNNNNNNNNNNNNNNNNNNNNNNNNNNNNNNNNNNNNNNNNNNNNNNNNNNNNNNNNNNNNNNNNNNNNNNNNNNNNNNNNNNNNNNNNNNNNNNNNNNNNNNNNNNNNNNNNNNNNNNNNNNNNNNNNNNNNNNNNNNNNNNNNNNNNNNNNNNNNNNNNNNNNNNNNNNNNNNNNNNNNNNNNNNNNNNNNNNNNNNNNNNNNNNNNNNNNNNNNNNNNNNNNNNNNNNNNNNNNNNNNNNNNNNNNNNNNNNNNNNNNNNNNNNNNNNNNNNNNNNNNNNNNNNNNNNNNNNNNNNNNNNNNNNNNNNNNNNNNNNNNNNNNNNNNNNNNNNNNNNNNNNNNNNNNNNNNNNNNNNNNNNNNNNNNNNNNNNNNNNNNNNNNNNNNNNNNNNNNNNNNNNNNNNNNNNNNNNNNNNNNNNNNNNNNNNNNNNNNNNNNNNNNNNNNNNNNNNNNNNNNNNNNNNNNNNNNNNNNNNNNNNNNNNNNNNNNNNNNNNNNNNNNNNNNNNNNNNNNNNNNNNNNNNNNNNNNNNNNNNNNNNNNNNNNNNNNNNNNNNNNNNNNNNNNNNNNNNNNNNNNNNNNNNNNNNNNNNNNNNNNNNNNNNNNNNGUUUACAAACUCAACCAUAAUGUGUGCAAUGGAUUAUCCAACUAAGAAACUAAGCCUAAAUGUAUCUAAUUAGGUCUUAUAAGCAGUGUACAUUACAUUUAAACUAGUGUCUUGAAUUUUUUUUAAAAUCAAUUUUUAAUUACUAAAUCAACUACGCAUUUAAAAGCAUAUAAAUAUCAAGGCCUAUUUAGGAAGAAUACCUACUAUCAUUAGACUCUCAUCAUACUAAAAUAUUUUAUCACAAAAUAAAAUAAUAAAAUAAUAUGUAUAACAUAUAGUAAUUACUAAGCAAUACAUGAAUGUUAAACAAAUAUUUUCAUGCAGUUUAAAAAUUUUACAAAAAAUUAGAAAUAAAAUUCCAAGUUUGCCAAAAGAAACUAUAGCAAAAAUGGUGCUAGACAAGCCCGCACGUGCCACAUGUGCCACCCACCAUGCAUGGAUUUUGUUCAAGAAAGGGAAUGGUUUUCUUUAACCUCUAAAUGAGUUGACUCAAUGCGACUGAAACAAUUCUUUACCUAUUCUAGUCUGUUCGUAUUUUUCCACCAUUUUUUAUGCAUUUUUUUCAGUAAUUUCAACAAAUUGAAAUGCCCAAAAAUAAAACAAUUUUUAUAUCAAAACCUUGAUAAAAAAUUAUAAAAAAAUGACAAAAAUAAGAUCAAUUGGUUAAAAUUUUUCAAAUUACAUAAACAUAUAUUAGACCCUUUUUGUUUUCUUCGUGUUUGGCCAAUCUAAAACAAUAUGAAAUUAAAUGCUUUGAUUUAACUUUAUAACACAUGAGAAACAUGAUUCAAGAAUCAAUUUUCAAUUAAACACAUAAAAUGUUUGAUGUUUUAAUCAAAACAAGAAUUUAGAUUAAAACUUAAACCUAAAAAUUUUCAACCUUGAUUUCUCUAUCGAUAUAAGGAAUUAGAAAAUGAUCUUUAUACAAUUUUAAUCCUUUUUAGAGAGGAACUAAAAUCCUAAAUCAAUUUCGAAAAAUAAAGAUCAAAAUUUAACAUUUUGAAAACAACAUAAUUUCACACUAAAUAUGUUGUUUGUUCAAAAAUCAAUUACAAAUCAGGAUUUUAGGGGCCUAAUAUCACAUAAUGAUAGCUCUGAUACCACACGUAAACAUUAACCCAAGUUCAUUGUUUGAUAAUUGGAACAUCGUAAACAAAUAAAGAGAUUUGUCAUACUUAUUUUGGUGGUCAUGACGAAUAUAUCGAAGCGAAAUAAUACUUAAAGUGCCUAGGUCUUCCGCUUCACUCUUCUCUUAUUGGAGACACUCAAUAAGCAGUAACCGUAACUCGUAUAAAGUAAAAAAAAAAAAAAGGUUAUCUGAACCUAUUUUAAUUGAAAACCCUUGAAGCCUCCUCAUCAAACACUUACUAGACUAAAGGUCUACCAAACCUCCAAACCAGAUUGAUCUAGUAAGAUGUGUAAGUCUUACAUUUAAGUGAUCACAUUAAAUUAUUUAAACUCUCAUGCUUAUCUUGUAUUAAGAGUAAACACAUCAACCAAUUUUAUUAAAUUAUUAAAACUAACUAUUAAUGGCAGCCCACUUAUAAAUUAUUCUCGCUCUAUAUCCUAAUAAGACAUCAACGGGGAGUGUAUAAAGCAAAAAUGAAGACUAUAUAAAGAGCAAUGGUGGUGGAAAGAUUGUUUUAUAAACAAAAAUUUGGAUGUUGAAGCGGUCUUCAUAAGAGACGACUUUCUGUGUUAGAGUGGUUCCAUUAAAAUAGUAUACUAAGGUCAUAUUUGAUACAUAUAAUUAUUAAUAGAAUAUGAAGAAUAUUCGUAAGGUUUGCAAUGAGGAUUAAUAUCCUCUUAGUAUAGGAUUAUUCAAUCAUCUCAAAGUAGAAAGGAUAAUUUUUAAAUUUAUAGAUUAAACUUAUAGGUUCAAUUAUACCCUUAAAAAUUAUUUUAAUAAUUUAAAUUGUAUAAACUUUGAAUAAGGAUAAUUUUGACAAAUAAAUAAAUUAUCCUAUCAUAAUCUUUACAUAUAGCAAACACAAAAUAAGAUGACAUUAUUUAAUCUAAUUUUAUUUAUAAUAUCAUUGUACCCUAUCAAGUUAUAAUCUUAUGUACCAAACAUGGCAUAAGAUUAUUAUAUCUAUGUAUAUUGAUGUUAUUUGUUAUUUUAUAACUAAGCUUUUGCGAUUCACAUAUUGUGAGGGGUUUCUGUGACAACUUUUUGAAAGGCUCUUUGGUGUGAUUGCAUAUACAUGACAUCAUACAUGCUAAUAAAGGAUUAGGAUAGAGCGGUAUAUUCGAAUUCACCCAUAAGGUACUGUGUGAAUUGAAUUCCUCAAUUCUUUUUAUUCAUGACCUAGAUUGGUGUAUUAUAUUACAGAAUGGUGGUGUAUCACAAUGAUUUUAUGUUGUUGUACAGCAAUUAUUGUUCAUUUCUUCAAACAUCAGUAAAUAAGAUUGAAGAACAGGUGCAUUGUCCUAAAACCAAAUGAACUUGAGUAAAAACCAUCAGCUCUAGGGAUUUUCGAAGAACUUGGAUAUCAUUUUGUUUAUUGAGAACCAAAUGAUGGAAAGAAAUAGGAAAGUAGUAUCGAAAUUAGGAAUAACCUUUAGUUUACAAUAGAUAAGUUGGUUGAUUUUGUCUGUGUACACUCGGGUAUACUAUUUUUUAUUUAUGUUAAUGAGCCUCACACAAAUCUUCAAUUUGGCUGACUUUAGGACUGAUAUUAGGUUCUGGAAGUCUAGAAUGCCUACUGAAUAUAUAGGGUGAAGAAAUCUAAAUAUUCAAUACUGAAAUUAUUUUAUACCUUGAUCUUAGCAUAUGAUAUUGGAAGUAGUUUACUAAAAUUGGGUAAGUUAUAUUGAGACAUUGAUAUUUCAAUUGGCUAUAUGUUAUACCUUUUUCAUAUUUUUUUAUCCUAAAGAUUGAAGGAAAAAUUCUAUUUUUAGAUGAGAUGUUAUGAUUUGCAAGAGUGAAUUAAAAUGGAAUUUGUAUUAAUGGAUAAAUUAUUACUUUAAGUAUUAUAUAUUGUUGGAAAGCUUGUUGAAUUUACUUUACAAUGAAAUAAACGUAAGUCGAAUCAAAGUUUUCUAUUAAGAGUUGUGUAAUUUUUAUUUAAUGAUAUGUAGACUGCCUGACAACGGUAGCAAUGAGGAAUUACAAAAUUUCUCUGAAUUUUUAUACAAUGAAUUACGAAUUGAGCCAUACAUGUUUAAAAAGGUUAUUGAGUUUAUAUUCCAAUGAAACAAGCAGAAUUGAAUUUGGAGUCUUUUAUGAAUAAAGAUAUCAUUUUGAUUACAAUACAUACAUGUUGUCUGGUAGUAGCAUAUGAUAUGGAUUGCAAAAAUUAUUACAAUUAAUCUACAAUAAAUUAUGAGGUGGGCCAUAUAUGUUGUCAUAACAUCUAGAUCCAGAGAUCCAUUGCUAGAUAUUAUUUUUAAGAGUCGUCACCAAUCUUUUUUAUCUAGGUGCGAUUGGUCACCUAGAGAAUUUAUCCUUUUAAAGAACACCUAAGCCUAAGGGUCCCUAAAAGAAUAGUUUUAGGUCUACUAAUCGGUACAGGGUUCGAGAGUACAGUUACGUGUGAGGAAGGUUAUAGCACCUUCACAACGCCCAUCUAAAGAUGGUACCAGCUUAAUUUUAUGUUAUCCAAUAAGCUUUAAAAAUUUACCAAGUAAUUAAUUAUUAGAAAUUAUUCUUAAUUGACUCUAAUACUUUUAGUAGAAAAUUGAAAAAAUUCCCUCACCUAAAGAGUAUGCAAGGAAACUACUGUUUCACUUGCAGAGGCUCUAUCGUCGGAUUAUUUAACAUUAAAGAAAAUUCAAAAAAAAAAAGAAAUAAAAUGAGAAAAAAAAGAAUAACAAUUCAACUUUAGAUAUAAAUCCUUUUCUCUUAAAAAACUCAUUGCUUUUGUACAAAAAAAUUGAUACUUUUAAAUUUUCCUCAAAAGCAUUUGAGAGUUUCUAUUUUUAAAAAAAUUGAUACUUUCAACUUUUUCUUAAAACGUUUUUUUUAAGAAAAAUUGAUACUUUCAACUUUUCCUCAAAAUGUUUUUCAGAAACUUUAAUUUCGAGGAAAAUUGAUAUUUUUAACUUUUUCUCAAAAAUAUUUUUUUUAAUUUAUUUUUAAGGAAAAUUAAUACUUUUACCUUUUCCUUUAAAAUAUUUUUUAGAAAAUUAUUUUCAAGGAAAAUUGAUACUUUCAACUUUUCCGUGAAAAUAUUUUUUAAAAAAUUUAUUUUUAAGAAAAAUUGAUACUUUCAACUUUUCCUCAAAAAUAUUUUUUUAGAAUUUUAUUUUAAGAAAAUCAUUAAAAAUAAAAUAAAAUAAAAAUCAGAAUAAAAAUAAAAUAAGGAAUACCAAAUUAUUCUAAUCUAAUCAAUAAAUAAUAAUAAUAAUAAUAAUAAUAAUAUAAUAAUAAUAACAAUAAUAAUAAUACUAAUAAAAGAAAUAAUAAUAAUAAUAAAUAAGAAAAAAAACUUUUGGAAUGGCUCGGCUCGGCUUAAGAGAUAAAAGUGAUUUAAACGUGAGGCUCAGCUGGAAACAGCUCGGUUCGGCUGGGGUCCAGGCAGAGACGUGGGUCGCUAAUCAGGUUGGUGCUCGGGUUGAGUCAUCCAAUUUCAAAACACGUGGAUCUUUUAAGAAUAGUAAGGCUAAAACGACAUCGUUUUCAGUCGGUAUAAAAGGCUUCUACUUCUGUUUCUUCGUAGAUUGUUUCCUUUCUCCUCUCUCUCUUCUUUUUUUUUCUCUUCCUUCUCUCUAAAUAGAAUCUAGAUUUCGGUUGAAUGUCUAUCGAAAUCUGGAAAAACAGGUCAAAAACUUUAAAGUUGGCCCAAAAUCUCGCCAAAAAAGUUGAAUCUUACCGAAAAAUUUCACCCGAUUCUGAAAAGUUUUAGAAAAUUUCAAAAAAAAAACUCAAAAAUUCUAAAAACUUUUUCGCAAAUUCCUAACGUUGUUUCUAACGCACCAGAACUUUUUUUAACCUCUGUUUCCCCUUUAUGUAUUUUUCGAUCUUUUUAUGUGCUCUCUGUGGACCUAUUUAUAAGGAUUGAUCAGAAGAGUUUCUGAUCAAUCCCAACGCCUUUUGGGAUUUUGAUUCAAUCUUUGAAUCCAAUCCCAAUUCUGCCAACCUCCAAUUUCAUGACCAAAUCCAAUUUUUUUUUAUCCUAAUCCUAGCAGAAAAUCAAUCAAGAUAAAAUAAAAAAAACACAUAUUAAUAGUUAAUAGAUAAAUAAUAAAAAAAUAUAUUAAUAAAUAAUAAUAAUAAUAAAAAAAUAAAAUACCCAUUUGGACCAAGCCCAAUUGAUCCGGGCCCGGAUCAAAUUGGGUGUCUACAUAUGUUUGAAAAGGUUUUUGAGUCUACUUUUCGAUUAAAUAAGCGAAAUUAAAUUUGGAGUCUUUUAUGAAUAAAUAUAUAAUUUUUAUUAAAAGAUAUAUAUACUAUCUGAUAGCAACAUAUGACAUAGAUUGUAAAAGUUAUUACAAUUAAUCUACACGAAAUUACGAGGUGGGCUAUAUAUAGUUAAAAAAUUUAUCGAGUUUAAUUUCUAAUGUACUAAAAAGAUUUUAAUUUUGAGUUGGAUAUCUUAAGAUAGGGUCAUUUUAGUGAAAGUAGCAUAGGCUACUAAAAUUAGUUAGUUAACCCUUAUAUAACUUAGUUGCUUUUAGUAUUAAUGGUCUUAAAUUGGAUUAAUUAAUUUUUGUUAUAUUGAAAUGAUUUUGAAUAGCCCAUUAAUUAUUUUGGGGGAAAAACUAAGUGGUGGAACCAAAAGGAAAUAAGUAGAAUCUUACACAUUUUGCUUAUUUUGAAACUUAUGUAUAUAUGUAUGUUUCUAAAUAAAUGAGAUUUAUUUCUUUAUUUUCGAUAUAAGAAAAUAGGCUGAGCAUAUGAUUAUUUUACGUUUUGCUAUAUAAAUGACGGAUCAUGUUUAUAAAUGAAAUGAGAAAUUGAUUUAUGCUUAAUGAAUGAUUUUAUAAUAGCUACAUAUUUUACAUCUUGAGAAGUGGGAUUAUCGAUACCAAAACUAGCUAUACUACCCUAGCUAACGGAUUAUAGUAGUUAAUAUAGUCACGAUCAAAUGGCACUACUAGUGGGUCAUAGUAGUUAGUGUAAAGGUUUGGCCAGCAGAUUAUAAUAGUUAGUAAAGAUCAUAAGGAUAAAAUUAUCAAUAUUUCCAAUGUUACGGAUUAUAGUAGUGAUCAUUGUUAAUGAUAAAGUAAUGAUAAUGAUGAUUUAUGAUGAUGAUGAUUUUAAAGAUUGAUUCAUGAUUUGAUUUAAUUACGAUAUUUGAAUGGUAACAUAUUUUGGAAUGAUUUAUGAAUUGAUCUAUUUUGAUUUUGAUUUAUGAUCUACAAAAUAUUUGACAUAAUGUUGAUUUUUGAAAUAUUUUGAUGUAUUAUUUGACAAAUGUUUCGAAUUAUCUAUAUGAUAUGUAUGAAACCGAUGUUUGAUCCGAUAAAGUGCAUGAUCCUAUACUAGAUUAGCUGGAAUUUGUUCAUUCUCUUUUUACCUUUUCUUUACACAUGAGUAACUGAUAAGUAUAUUUAGUCUUACUAAAAGCUAGAAGAUCAAUUUGGAAAUAUUACUUGGACAUUAGAAAUAUUGUUAGCUAGUGAGAUCUUAUGAAAUUAUUUUAUAUGUUUUUUAUUAAUUAACCUUUGAUAUAUAGAGAUGUAUCACUAGUUAGAUUAAAUUUAUGAAUUUUACUUGGCAAAUUAUUUUUAUUAAAGAAUUUUAAAAUGAUUAAGAGAAAAAAUUUCGUAUUACUUUAAAGUUUUAUUUGAAGAUAAUAUAACGGUGUUACAUCUUAGUUUUGGGGCAUGACACCAUUAUUAGACAAGUCUUGACCAGAUUGGAUUACGUAUCAGCCAAUUUGUCAGGCAUUGCAACAGAUUUCAGGUAAUUGGAGAGUCUGCAAACAUGACAGGCUUGAGCUAGUUUAAUUUCUGCUUUUGCUUUGUGAGACUAUUCCAAUGAAGUGAGGAAAGAUAGAUAAAUUUGAUUAUGAACUCGAAUCCAUUUUUGAUAGUAUAGUUAGACUCUGAAAGGGAGGAGGUUAAGAUUCAAAUCUUCGUGAAACCUCCUUCGAGAUGGAAACUUGGGAAGGAGAGCAGCGACUCGUUUGGCACUUUUCAAAUAUGAUGCAUACUGAAGGAUGACAGGAGUAUCAUUCUUUCCUGCAUCAAUUUUGUCACGGUCCAAGCUUAUUGUCUGAAAAGCACUAGCCAAAGGCAAGACAUGGAUACCGUGACUAUUCUCCUUUCCUACCAGGUCCUUAAGCGCCUUCUUCUUGAAAGUCCAGCUGCCAGUUCUCAGGUUGAAAUGGUAUAGAGGAAGAAAUCGUUGGCCAUAGAUGGCUACGAACUCCAACGCCGCAAGAAUGUAUUCAAACUCCUCAUUUGACAUGUAGUAAGGAAAGCUGACUCUCGUCCAUCCAGGUUUUGCUCCUAUGUAGCCCUGCAAUCAAACUUUGCAAUUGGCAUUAGAUAAGUUGAAUUAUAUUUUACUUCUCUUCAUUUGGUCAAAAAAGAAAAAAAGGAAAAUUUUGUACUGAUACCCUUUUAAUAGCUUCUCUGAACGCAAGGGAUCGAGUCUGAUCAAUAUCAAGCAAACUGUGGCCAUAAGGUCCAGCACAAGCACACCCACCUCGAGCUUGGAUGCCAAACAGAUCAUUUAGGAUGGUUGCAACAAAAGGGCCAUGGAGAGGUUUAUCCCUCUUGUUCCCAGUCUCUCCCCACAUGAAAAGUCCCCUACCCUUUUCCUUUGCCUCGUCAACAUUGUUACCAUCGUUGGUUGUGGAGUAGAUGAGGAAAGACAGUAUGGCUUGUCUCUGGGUCUCGGUGCUUGCAUUUCCUAAAACCCUUAUGUUUU